rnacentral:rRNA from 1 species
AGAACGAACGCUGGCGGCAUGCUUAACACAUGCAAGUCGCACGAUCUUAGCAAUAAGAUAGUGGCGCACGGGUGAGUAACGCGUAGGUAAUCUGUCUUGAAGAGUGGAAUAGCUGUGGGAAACUGCAGGUAAUACCGCAUAAUAUCGAGAGAAGAAAGGGAGAAAUCCGCUUUAAGGUGAGCCUGCGUCUGAUUAGCUAGUUGGUGGAGUAAAAGUUUACCAAGGCGACGAUCAGUAGCUGUUUUGAGAGGAAGACCAGCCACACUGGAACUGAGACACGGUCCAGACUCCUACGGGAGGCAGCAGUGAGGAAUUUUGGACAAUGGGGGCAACCCUGAUCCAGCAAUGCCGCGUGAGUGAUGAAGGCCUUCGGGUGUAAGCUCUUCACCGAUGACGAUGAUGACGGUAAUCGGAGAAGAGUCCGGCUAACUCGUGCCAGCAGCCGC